AUUGAACGCUGGCGGCAGGCUUAACACAUGCAAGUCGAGCGGGGUGAUGGUGCUUGCACUAUCACCUAGCGGCGGACGGGUGAGUAAUGCUUAGGAAUCUGCCUAUUAUUGGGGGACAACAUUUCGAAAGGAAUGCUAAUACCGCAUACGUCCUACGGGAGAAAGCAGGGGAUCUUCGGACCUUGCGCUAAUAGAUGAGCCUAAUUUGGAUUAGCUAGUUGGUGGGGUAAAGGCCUACCAAGGCGACGAGCUGUAGCGGGUCUGGGAGGAUGAUCCGACACACUUGGACUGAGACACGGCCCAGACUCAUACGGGAGGCAGCAGUGGGGAAUAUUGGACAAUGGGCGCAAGCCUGAUCCAGCCAUGCCGCGUGUGUGAAGAAGGCCUUAUGGUUGUAAAGCACUUUAGCGAGGAGGAGGCUACUUUAGAUAAUACCUAGAGAUAGUGGACGUUACUCGCGGAAUAAGCACCGGCUAACUCUGUGCCAGCAGCCGCUGUAAGAC
rnacentral:rRNA from 1 species